AAGUCGAGCGGCAAGGGUAGCAAUACCCCCUAGAGCGGCGGACUGGUGAGUAACGCGUGGGUGACCUACCCUUAGGUUGGGGAUAGCCAUUAGAAAUAGUGGGUAAUACCGAAUAUGGUUGUUUUGCUAUGGCAAGACAAAGAAAGGAGCCUUGGCUCCGCCUGAGGAUGGGCCCGCGUCCCAUUAGGUAGUUGGUGAGGUAAAGGCCCACCAAGCCCGAGAUGGGUAGCCGGCCUGAGAGGGUGAACGGCCACACUGGGACUGAGAUACGGCCCAGACUCCUACGGGAGGCAGCAGCUAAGAAUAUUCCGCAAUGGACGAAAGUCUGACGGAGCGACGCCGCGUGUAUGAAGAAGGCCGAAAGGUUGUAAAGUACUUUUCUUGCUGAAGAAUAAGCGUGGGAGGGAAUGCCCGCGUGAUGACGGUAAGCAAGGAAUAAGCCCCGGCUAAUUACGUGCCAGCAGCCGCGGUAACACGUAAGGGGCGAGCGUUGUUCGGAAUUAUUGGGCGUAAAGGGCGCGUAGGCGGUUACAUAAGUCUGGCGUGAAAGGCAGGGGCUUAACUCCUGGACUGCGCUGGAAACUGCGUAACUUGAGUCAUGGAGGGGGAGUUGGAAUUCCUGGUGUAGGGGUGAAAUCUGUAGAUAUCAGGAAGAACACCGGUGGCGAAGGCGAAC
rnacentral:rRNA from 1 species